AACGCACAUUGCGCCCCCUGGUACUCCGGGGGGCAUGCCUGUUCGAGCGUCAUUUCAACCCAUCAAGCCCCGGCUUGGCCUUGGGCGUCACGUCCCCCCGGCGGGACGCGCCCGAAACGCAUUGGCGGCGGCGUCGAAGCCCCGAGCGCAGCGGAGAAUUGUACCAAUUCUGGCUCGGGUUUUUUGGCUCUUUUGGCGUCUCCAGCCCCCGAGGCCCCCGCGCAAUGGGGGGUCUUCACGCCUCAACGGCUGACCUCGAAUCAGGUAGGGAUACCCGCUGAACUUAA
rnacentral:misc_RNA from 1 species